ACCGACUUUAUAAGUGCCCUUGAUCUUCCCUACUGCUCUGUAGUGGAGAAAAAAGUCUGACUUAAAUGCUUUGUGGUUAUCAUGGAGGCAUUUUUCCCCCCUUAAAAAUAAACGGAGGUUGACCUCAGUUGGCACCACAACGCGACUAUUCCAGAACCAUUACCCUAGAGGGAGUUCUUUUUAAGGGCAGGUCAGUGAAUUUGGAAUUUUGUUGAGAGCCUCAGGAUUGACUUGUAAAUUUUCCUAGUAGAGACAGAAGACUGGGAUAAUUAACGCUAGGUGAGGAGUAACCCCACUUGCUGAACAAAAAACGACUUAGGCGCUGAACCAGGUCUAGUGGGUAAACUUUCUGUUGGAAAAACAAAGCUGCGCGGGCAAGAAGGACGCCUUCUAUUCAGCACAAAGCUGGUUUGGCACAAGCGGUUCGCUGCGGGUGGCGCGCUGCCUGCACUUGGCUUGCAAUCUUGUGAUCGACACUUCGCCUGGCCCUUGUCAGGUGUGCAAGUGCCUUUGCUAUGCCCGCCGCGGACGACUCGAACCCUCACGCCGGGGGCCACAGGAGAGGAUUCAUCUUCCCCCUGGUUGGAGGACCCAGGAGUUAUUGAUGUCGUCGCUGGAUAGGACAGAGAGAAAUGGAGAGAGGAGGGAAGACAGAGAGGGGGAGAGAAAGAGACCUGCAGACCUACUUCGCCUCCUGUGAAGCGACUCCCCUGCAGGGUUAUCGCUGAAGCUCAGUGCCAGCUCUAUGAAUCCACUGCUUUUGGUGGUCUUUUUUUUUUUCCUCCCCAUUUAUAUUGGAUAGGACCAAGAGAAGUUAAGAGAUGAAGGGAAUAGAGAGACAACUGCAGACCUGUUUCACUGCUUAUGAAACAUCCCUGCUGCAGGUAAGGAGCUGGUGGGGUGGUGGGGUUCUUGAACCUGGAUACUUGCACUGGUCCUUGCUUGUGAUGUUUUCCCCCUGCACGUGGGGACCAGGGCCUCAAACCUAGGUCCUUGUACAUUGAAACACAUGCACAUGGGAGUCAGGCAGUAGCGCAGCGGGUUAAGCCACAUGGCGCAAAGUACAAGGACUGGCAUAAGGAUCCCGGUUUGAGCCCCUGGUUCCCCACCUGCAGGGGAGUCACCUCACAGGCGAUGAAGCAGGUCUUCAGGUGUCUGUCUUUCUCUCCCCCUCUCUGUCUUUCCCUGCUCUCUUCAUUUCUCUCUGUCCUAUCCAACAA